AUUGAACGCUGGCGGCGUGCCUAAUACAUGCAAGUCGAACGCAGUGGGGACGGGUGAGUAACACGUGGGUAACCUCCCAUCAGAGGGGAUAACACUUGGCAACAGGUGCUAACCCGAUAUUGAUGGAUGUACCCGCGGUGGAUUAGCUGGUUGGUGAGGUAACGGCUCACCAAGGCCACGAUGCAUAGCCGACCUGAGAGGGUGACCGGCCACACUGGGACUGAGACACGGUCCAGACUCCUACGGGAGGCAGCAGUAGGGAAUAUUCGGCAAUGGACGAAAGUCUGACCGAGCAAUGCCGCGUGAGUGAAGAAGGUUUUCGGAUCGUAAAACUCUGUUGUUAGAGAAGCGGUAUCUAACCAGAAAGCCACGGCUAACUACGUGCCAGCAGCCGCGGUAAUUC
rnacentral:rRNA from 1 species